rnacentral:rRNA from 2 species
CCAAACUGUUGCCUCGGCGGGAUCUUCUGCCCCGGGUGCGUCGCAGCCCCGGACCAAGGCGCCCGCCGGAGGAAUCAACCAAAACUCUUAUUGUAUACCCCCUCGCGGGUUUUUUUAUAAUCUGAGCCUUCUCGGCGCCUCUCGUAGGCGUUUCGAAAAUGAAUCAAAACUUUCAACAACGGAUCUCUUGGUUCUGGCAUCGAUGAAGAACGCAGCGAAAUGCGAUAAGUAAUGUGAAUUGCAGAAUUCAGUGAAUCAUCGAAUCUUUGAACGCACAUUGCGCCCGCCAGUAUUCUGGCGGGCAUGCCUGUCCGAGCGUCAUUUCAACCCUCGAACCCCUCCGGGGGGUCGGCGUUGGGGAUCGGCCCUCCUCUUGCGGGGGCCGUCUCCGAAAUACAGUGGCGGUCUCGCCGCAGCCUCUCCUGCGCAGUAGUUUGCACACUCGCAUCGGGAGCGCGGCGCGUCCACAGCCGUUAAACACCCAACUUCUGAAAUGUUGACCUCGGAUCAGGUAGGAAUACCCGCUGAACUUAAGCAUAUCAAUAAGCGGAGGAAAU